rnacentral:rRNA from 1 species
ACGACCGCUCUAGAGAUAGGGCUUUCCUUCGGGACGUCCCACACAGGUGGUGCAUGGUUGUCGUCAGCUCGUGUCGUGAGAUGUUGGGUUAAGUCCCGCAACGAGCGCAACCCCUAUUGUUAGUUGCUACGCAAGAGCACUCUAGCGAGACUGCCGUUGACAAAACGGAGGAAGGCGGGGACGACGUCAAAUCAUCAUGCCCCUUACGUCCUGGGCUACACACGUAAUACAAUGGCGUUUAACAAAGGGAAGCAAAGCCGCGAGGUGGAGCAAAUCCCCAAAAGGCGUCUCAGUUCGGAUUGCAGGCUGCAACUCGCCUGCAUGAAGCUGGAAUUGCUAGUAAUCGUGGAUCAGCAUGCCACGGUGAAUACGUUCCCGGGCCUUGUACACACCGCCCGUCACACCAUGAGAGUCGGGAACACCCGAAGUCCGUAGUCUAACCGCAAGGAGGGCGCGGCCGAAGGUGGGUCUGAUAAUUGGGGUGAAGUCGUAACAAGGUAGCCGUAUCGGAAGGUGCGGUU